rnacentral:rRNA from 1 species
AUUGAACGCUGGCGGCAGGCCUAACACAUGCAAGUCGAGCGAGCGGCGGACGGGUGAGUAAUGUCUGGGAAACUGCCUGAUGGAGGGGGAUAACUACUGGAAACGGUAGCUAAUACCGCAUACCCUCAGAUGUGCACAGAUGGGAUUAGCUGGUAGGGGGGGUAACGGCUCACCUAGGCGACGAUCCCUAGCUGGUCUGCGAGGAUGACCAGACACACUGGAACCGAGACACGGUCCAGACUCCUACGGGAGGCAGAAGUGGGGAAUAUUGCACAAUGGGCGGAAGCCUGAUGCAGCCAUGCCGCGUGUGUGAAGAAGGCCUUCGGGUUGUAAAGCACUUUCAGCGGGGAGGCGUUACCCGCAGAAGAAGCACCGGCUAACUCCGUGCCAGCAGCCGCGGUAAUAC